GCUGCUGCUGAUUCCAAACCUGAAGGCAACAGGAGCGGGGUGGCAACUAUGGGCGCAUGGAAGACAAGCAGGACAACACCCAAGGAGUGGAAAAUGCACUGACAAAUGUAACAAUUACAAAGGAGUUGGCUGCUGCCCCCGCUCGCUCUCUUCCUCAGACUGUUUCCUCCACAGCACGGUGAGAGUCUGGGCUUUGGAAGUGGGAUGUCUAGGUU
rnacentral:lncRNA from 1 species